AGCUUUAAUUUCGUGGGUCCACUAACAAAUACUUGUAGUAACGUUUGUUUAAGUAGAAUUGAAAAGUUCUUCAUUUACUUUAUAAUGACUAUUAGGGUGAGCAUUUCAGUUUUUCAUUUUUGACUCGGAAUUUGUCAGGAAUUGGUUUGCUAUAGAGAUAGUGUUUAGAUUUGGAAAGCAAGUUUAGUAAUCAAAGUAAUUUAAUAGAGAUAAAAGUACAGGGAGAAUUAUGGCUCAACUUUAGGGACUGAGUAACUUUAAUACUUUAAUUCUAGUAAGUUUAUUAGUUAAACAAUGUAAAGACCUUGUGUAACAUUCUAGAGCUGGCUUGUAAAAAGAUGUAGGGGAUAUUUGGCAGGUCGUAAUGGUUGCUGUUACUACUAAUAUAUACAAGUGCUUUUCAAAUUAGAGGUAACGAUGAAGUCCUUCAUUCACUUUAAGAACUAAGUAGCUUUCUCUUGUACCAAAACCUGCUACAAUCUAAGCUAAAGCGAACAUUUCACCUUUCCUUGUUGUUGAAAAACCAGAUAUUUAAACCAGAAUGAAUUAGGUGAAUUCUUCACCAUCUCUGGAAGAACAGUUCUAUUCAUGCAGUCAUAGCAUAUGAUGAGUAGAAAGCACAGCCAUGUCUGUCUGGAUAAACUGCCAAGUUUUAAGCCAGAAACAGUAUUCAUUAAGAUAUUGCAA
rnacentral:lncRNA from 1 species